rnacentral:lncRNA from 1 species
CACAAAUUGUUGGCUUUCUACUAAAAUUUCAAACCAUUCUAUAUUAAAACACGGUUUCAGUUUGUGGAAGUUGUUUCCCUUUACGGAUCUAUUUCCUAAAUUCUCCGCUAGAGGGCGGUGCAUAAUGGCAAGAAUCGUUCCAAAGUUCUUCCCUUUCAGUUUCUUUUUCCUCUGUUCCAGGGGUUCGCCCCAUUUUACAAAUAUGUCAGGUAUCCCAGAAAUAUAAUACGAAGCAUAAUCAUGUUUUAUAUGAAAGAAGCGUCAUUUGGUACAUCGAUGGCUGUCGGUGGAAGUUGUACAUUUCAUUGACCUCGUCGAGUCCGACCUUUGACCUUAUAAGGUCAUCCCACAUCGUACACCCUCAGCAACGAUAGGUAAGUAUCAUAGUUUUAUGGUAUUAUAAGUAAAUAUUGUAAUAUACGGAAUCGGGCGAUCCUUCGGUAUAGGUACCGGAAGUGGCUUUGUUUACAUUUCUGAAGCCAUAUCACUGUGAUAUCUGUGGUAAAUCAUUCUCCCAAAACGGUGAGGUCACCAUUCACAACCCUUUUCUCCCACCCCUAACCCCCCAUAUAUAUAUGUAUAUAUAUAUAUAUAUAAACACUUUCUUGAAAUGUAUCCGGUACCUAUACCGAAGUUCCUCCUGGUAUUAGAUUACUUAUGGCCAUGGAUGUCGGGUAAGGACCGAAUGAGUACGAUCUCAUAUACAAGCGAUGUUGGUGGGGGACAAACACAGACACACACAAACCAUCAGAUGUUGUUACACAUCGCUGGUCACAAUGCGUUCGCAUUGUCUUAGCCUUCGAAUGACGCCACCCCGCUGGCUAAGCGAGCAGGCCAACAGAAGAAAGAGUGAGAGAAAGUUGUGGCGAAAGAGUACAGCAGGGAUCGCCACCACCCACUGCUGGAGCAUCGUGGGGCUUUUAAGUGUUUUCGCUCAAUAAACACUCACAACGCCCGGUCUGGGAAUCGAAACCGCGAUCCUACGAUCGCGAGUCCUCUGCCCUAACCACUGGGCCAUUGCGCCUCCACUAUAUAUAUACAUAUAUAUACGACGGGCUUCUUUCAGUUUCCGUCUACCAAAUCCACUCACAAGGCUUUCGUUUUAUGUGGCACCAUCACCCAUACCGGCAAUCUUUCGUCUCUAGUAGACCUUUCCGCCGAUUUCCGUAAAAAAAAUUUUUUUUUUUUUACAUAUGGGCUUGCGGGAACUUUUGAAGUAAUGAGAGCGAAAGAGACUAAGAGAAAGCCAUUGUAUGACGAGGGAAGUUCUUUUGAAGUUACCGAAGCAUUGAUGUACAUGUGUGUGUGUGUUUGAUGGGGUGUGGGAGACAGACAGUAUGUUGUGUAAGUGAAGUGCUUCUGUUAGUGUGUGCGAAGAGACAGAGAGAGUAAUGUGUGAAAGAAAGAGAUAACUGAAAUUUUUUACUCGGUGUAUAUGUGUAUGUAUGCAUGUAUGUGUAUAUGUAUGUAUAUUACUUCAAAAGUUCCCGCAAGCCCAUAUGUAAAAAAAAAAAUUUUUUUACGGAAAUCGAUGGAAAGGUCUACUAGAGACGAAAGAUCACCCCCAUACCUUUUUACAUGGCCCCUUCACCAGUGCUUCUUGAAUGUUGGGUAUAUUUCUACAAUUUAUCUGUACUAAAACAAAUUUCCCUUAUUGCAUCUUUGCUCUUUACACACCUUCCAUACCUUAUACUGCUGUCUCUUCUUUAUUUCAGAAUAUUUGAUAAAAUCAGCAUCAAAGAAUCAAUAUUUAUCAAGUUUUAAAGACUGAAGGAAGAAAUAUCCUAUUUACUCUUUUACUUGUUUCAGUCAUUUGACUGCGGCCAUGCUGGAGCACCGCCUUUAGUCGAGCAAAUUGACGCCGGGACUUAUUCUUU